UUUAUUAAAAUUUAAAUACCAUCACAGAAGAUAAUAAUAAAUUGUAAUCGGCAAAUAGCAAUGCCGGCUUUUUUUUUUUUAAUGCUUAAUUAAGAUAGGUGGGAGGUGGGGCCUGGGUACGGCUGCUGUGGAGGUGAUUGGGUUGGUGUAAUUAAAGGUGCGGAUUGCGAGUCGUUUUCAUUAUCCAAAAGAGUAUGUGAAUUUUGCCACGGGUGUGUGACGCUGACGCACUUGUUAAAGGAGGCAUUUUUUUUCUACUAUUUAUGUUCAAAAAUUACAAAAUUCAAAUGCAACAAUUUUUUCCUUUUUAAGCUCAUCCGUGCCGAUCUUAGUAUAAAAGAAUUUAAAUUUUUACUAAUUAUAUUUGAAGUCUAUUUGAUACCAUAGCGUGAGAUUCCCGCUUUUAUUUUUUUGUGAUUCCACUUUGGUUCAUUUUUUUUUCAUAAUUUUUUUAAUAAUCUUUUUAAGUAUGAAAAAUUAACUAUAUGAACAAUUCGACCGGAUCUAUAUACCAAUAAUGAAAUACGGCUCGCAAAAUUGAUUUGUGAAGAGUACAAGCAACAAUCAAGUUUAAUCUUGUCCCCUUAUUAUGUAGCAAUUCAUAAUGGUAGGGAUUUCAAAAAUUAAUUAAUCCUUUCUUACACCUAAGGGUAACUCCCAUUUUGAAAUUCAGUAAGAGAUAAAUGAACACAUAAACCCUUAGUUUGCCACCAAUUAGCGUCGAUUUAUUCGAAGAAAUAACUUCAAAUGAAACGGUUAUAAUAAGUAUCACAACAUUUCUAUGGUCCGUUAAACAUUCUUUCAUGUAAU
rnacentral:lncRNA from 1 species